GGGAGCAGUCCGCCGCCUCCCUCCGAGCGCAGGACGCUCCGACGCCCGCUUGCCCGCAGGCCACCGCAGACUGGGAAUUACACAGCAAGAUGGCUUUCCCUACUCCAUCGUGGCUAGAGCCUCUGCAAGGGCUGAAGCCCUUUGAUCUUGGCUUCAUUUGGAUACAUUUCAAGGGUACAACAUGAUGGCAAGGUAUGAACCAACACAGAUGGGUUCAGUUUCCAAGUGUGAUGAUGGAGAUGGAAACGGGCAAGAGGAGCUGCAGGGAAGGUGUGGAGAAGCACGCAUGUACAGGACUGGUGAUCCCCGCGGGCGUGGCACCUGUAAACAAGACUAGAAACAGGUAUACCACACAUGAACCCUGUUAUAAUUUGACCCUACUCACAUCAUCCAUGUCUUCAGUGAGAGGAGGGCAGCUGCUCUGACAGGUGAGGUGUAUCUUAGACAACCCAAACAUACUCUGAGGACGGCAGUUCAGAGAUGGAGAGGAAAGCUUUGGGGCACAGAAAGAGAAACGGUGGCUCAACUGUCGAGUAUAUAGUUUCUCACCAGCAUCUGUGAACCUGAUGGCCUCCUAAGUGGCUCCUUCUGGAACAUUCCCUCACUGGAUACCAUGUACCCUCUGACUCUCUUGAAUCUUUUGUUCCAAAGCACUUUUAAAUGAAGGUGCCUUCAAGCUCCUGUGGAUCGUAAAGAUCUGAACAAGCUGGGACAAAGAUAUUAAGCUGAUACCCUCAGGCCUGAGGGAAUGGCUUACGUGUAUGGGAACCUUUUUCUCCUUUGGGACAUUGAACAUAAGUGGUGUGGAAUAAUGUUAAGCUUCUCUGAUGGGUCCUAAAUGGUUGAAGAACACCCCUCAAGAGAUGGGAAGAUUCUAAGAGCCAGAGAGAAUGGAUUACUCCAAGGCAACACAAUGGGACUGAUGACCACAUGAACUCUUAGAGACUGUAGCAGCUUGCACCAGGCCUGUACAGGUUCAAGCCAGAUGGGGUUCCAGCACUGAGAGGGGAAUUGGACAUGGACGUCUACUCCUUACUAAGAAGCUCUCUGCAACUGAUACCGACUUGCAAAGGAAAAUAGUUUUCUCCAAUGAAGUACCACUGAGUAUAUUAACCAUACUUCAAGGUAGGCCGCCUUCCCAAAAAACUUGGGGUUGGAGUCUGGUCCCCAAUGCCUAUGUUUCUGUUUCCAG
rnacentral:lncRNA from 1 species